AGUAGCUAGCAUGGCAAAACCUGUCUGAGGUGUUUAUUUGGAUACUUACGUGGCUCUGUCAAAUUAUUUUAAUAUGUAAAUAUUUAAGAAAAAAAUUAAAAUAACGAAAAAUAGUUUAAGUGUGGGUUAAAGUAAAAAACCCUUAUCUAAUUAAGCCAUUUCUGGGUUUUUCGUUGUUGUGAAAUUGGUGAUUGUUGUUGAUUCUGCUGCUAAUGUUCUUGUUGUGUUAUUUGGGGGUUAGGGUUUAAUUUGAUUUUGUUUUAAAUAUAAGUAUUUUCUUCGAUUGACGAUGAUCUUGUGAAUUUCUGGGUAUUUGGGGGUUAGGGUUAGGGUUUAAGAAUUUUAUUGCAAUUUUUGGGUUUUACAAUUUGGUGAAACUGAUCUUGUAAUCACUAUGGCGUGUGAUUCAUUGAAGGUCAAAUUUGAAGAGCGUACGUACAUGAGCUAAGUGUUGCUAACUCUAGCCUACUUACUCGAUGUUCUUAUUGUUGGAUUUGGGGGUUAGGGUUUGAGGUAGAAAUAGAGGGUGGAGUGGAGGUGGAAAGUGAUGGUGGAAAGGAAGUGGAUGGUGGAGUGGAGGUGGACAAAGAUGAUGGACUGGAGGUGGAAACUAAUGGUGGAGAGGAGGUGGAUGGUGGAGUAGAGGUGGACAAAGAUGGUGGAUUGGAGGUGGAAACUAAUGGUGGAAACUAAGUCAGAUAUUUAUCAUGUGUUUUUCACUGAUAUCCAUUUGGGACGAAAGUACACAGUUUUAAAUUGAAAAGGGGACCACAUUGCACAUUUUUUUACCAAAGGGGAAACUAAAUUUAACAUUACAUAUAAACACCUAAACGUUAACAUUGAGCUUCACCUUCACAUUAUUUUUGCGUUUCUGACUUGUGCAAUUUGCAGGUUGGUGCCCAUGGAUGCUACUUGCGAACUAGGGUUUCUACGAUUUGGGUAGUGAUUAUGUAUGUUUAUGGUUUGCUGCAGGGGUGAAUUGGGUUUCUAGGUGUUGCGAUUGCGAUUUUCUUGCUCAUAUUUGGGUUGGAAUUUCUGGUUUGCAAGUUAGGGAUUUCGAUUCAGUUCUUGCUUAAUGGUGAUUAGGGGCAACGCAUGGUGGAGAUUUAUUGGUGACACGAUUUAGGGUUUCAUGGUGGCUAGGGUUUGAUUUCUAGGUUUUUUGUUGUUUUUCUCUGCUUCGAAUCGUAGGUCUGUGUUGAUGAUGGUGACGGCGGCAUGGUGGCCUCAAGGUUUGGUGGCGGCAUAUUUCGUUUUGCAGCAAUGGUAACAACACUGAUUAGAACACCACUUUCACCACAAUGUUGAACCCAGAAAUGGUGAAAUCGCUCUUAGAUAAGGGUAAUUUUCUUUAACCCAGACUUAAACCUACCACCUACCUUACAUCAUUUUAUUUUAUUUUUAAAUAUUUACACAGUGCAACCUUUUCACAGUGCCACGUAAGCUUCAAUUUAACAGCUCAUCAACGUUUGGCCACGCUAGCAUUUGCACCGUUAUUAUUUUAACGUCGUCUGCCAAAAGGACGAUAUUGAACAAUUUUUAAUGAAAUAUAGGACCUUAGUGCACUUUUUUCAAAGAUGAGACUAUUUU
rnacentral:lncRNA from 1 species